GACGAACGCUGGCGGCGUGCUUAACACAUGCAAGUCGAACGGUAAGGCCCUUCGGGGUACACGAGUGGCGAACGGGUGAGUAACACGUGGGUGAUCUGCCCUGCACUUCGGGAUAAGCCUGGGAAACUGGGUCUAAUAACGGAUAGGACCACUGCCUGCAUGGGUGGGGGUGGAAAGCUUUUGCGGUGUGGGAUGGGCCCGCGGCCUAUCAGCUUGUUGGUGGGGGGAUGGCCUACCAAGGCGACGACGGGUAGCCGGCCUGAGCGGGUGACCGGCGACACUGGGAAUGAGAUACGGCCCAAGCUCCUACGGGAGGCAGCAGUGGGGAAUAUUGCACAAUGGGCGCGAGCCUGAUGCAGCGACGCCGCGUGAGGGAUGACGGCCUUCGGGUUGUAAACCUCUUUCAGCACCGACGAAGCGCAAGUGACGGUAGGUGCAGAAGAAGGACCGGCCAACUACGUGCCAGCCGCCGCAGUAA
rnacentral:rRNA from 1 species